AUUGAACGCUGGCGGCAUGCUUUACACAUGCAAGUCGAACGGAUCUAGGGGCUUGCUCCUAGGUUAGUGGCGAACGGGUGAGUAAUGCAUCGGAACGUACCGUGUAGUGGGGGAUAACCCGGCGAAAGUCGGAUUAAUACCGCAUACGAUCUACGGAUGAAAGCGGGGGACCUUCGGGCCUCGCGCUAUACGAGCGGCCGAUGUCGGAUUAGCUAGUUGGUGAGGUAAAGGCUCACCAAGGCUACGAUCCCUAGCUGGUCUGAGAGGAUGAUCAGCCACACUGGAACUGAGACACGGUCCAGACUCCUACGGGAGGCAGCAGUGGGGAAUAUUGGACAAUGGGCGAAAGCCUGAUCCAGCCAUGCCGCGUGUGUGAAGAAGGCCUUCGGUUGU
rnacentral:rRNA from 1 species